AUUGAACGCUGGCGGCAUGCUUUACACAUGCAAGUCGAACGGUAACAGGCCGCAAGGUGCUGACGAGUGGCGAACGGGUGAGUAAUGCAUCGGAACGUGCCCAGUCGUGGGGGAUAACUACUCGAAAGAGUAGCUAAUACCGCAUACGAUCUAUGGAUGAAAGCGGGGGACCGUAAGGCCUCGCGCGAUUGGAGCGGCCGAUGUCAGAUUAGGUAGUUGGUGGGGUAAAGGCUCACCAAGCCAACGAUCUGUAGCUGGUCUGAGAGGACAACCAGCCACACAGGGACUGAGACACGGCCCAGACUCCUACGGGAGGCAGCAGUGGGGAAUUUUGGACAAUGGGCGCAAGCCUGAUCCAGCAAUGCCGCGUGCAGGAAGAAGGCCUUCGGGUUGUAAACUGCUUUUGUACGGAACGAAACGGCUCUGGUUAAUACCCGGGGCUAAUGACGGUACCGUAAGAAUAAGCACCGGCUAACUACGUG
rnacentral:rRNA from 1 species